UACGUAGGGUGCGAGCGUUGUCCGGAAUUAUUGGGCGUAAAGAGCUUGUAGGCGGUUUGUCGCGUCUGCCGUGAAAUUUCGAGGCUCAACCUCGAACUUGCGGUGGGUACGGGCAGACUAGAGUGUGGUAGGGGAGACUGGAAUUCCUGGUGUAGCGGUGAAAUGCGCAGGUAUCAGGAGGAACACCGAUGGCGAAGGCAGGUCUCUGGGCCACUACUGACGCUGAGAAGCGAAAGCAUGGGGAGCGAACAGG
rnacentral:rRNA from 1 species